CGACAAGUGCCAUUUCAUUAUUGCAGUCAAAGAAGUAGGACGUGUCGAACCUUUGUUAAGGAGUUAUCGUUAACUAAAGUAUAAAUCGUCUGCUGUAUCAUGAAAUAAGUGGCACACUGUAUGUACAUAUAAAAGUUAAAUUGAAAUUAUCAAAUUGUUUCGCCCGAACUGCGUUUUCGUAGAAUCCAACAAAUUAGCGCAUGCCGUUACACGCAUACAUAUGCACGUUGUGGAUAAACAGAAAUCUAACUAAAGUGAAGUUUGUAUUAAUUAUUAAGUGGAUAAAAAUUGUCGGUUCAAGUGCAGCUACACACACAUAAAUAUAUCACAGCCAACAAAGUUGUGCGUGCCCUAACGAACAUACUUGUACAUAUACGUACAUUUGCUGCAAAACAUCGACCCACGCACAGCGUGCGUUUACCGUUCCUGACAAAGUCAUUGUGGCAAAAAAAUCCUCUUGGAAAACUAUAUGCCAAAUAAACAAAUUCCAGAACGAAGCGUAUAAAACUGGAUAGAAUCUUGGAGGUUCCUGUUGAGAUCCAAACAAAAAAUGGAAACUGCUAGAUUUCGACGAAAUUUUACUUGGCUGACAAAACGGAAUUAAUGAGGGAGAUCUCAGACUAGAAUCUCGUCAUUGAAAAAUGAAAUAAAACCCAUAUUACUCGGCGUAAGGAUGUGAAAACUGUCGAUGGAGCUGAAUUUUUGAAAGCAUAGUCAAGAUAUGCUAAUACGGGGGCGCCGGAAUUGGAAGCAAUACCACAGCAAGGAAAGUCCGCAGAAUUGUUAAAGUGUUAGAGGAGAUCCACCAGAGAAUCCCAAUGGGAAGGAAAAUGUCGAGUGGAAUUUCGCUCCUGACAUCCUGCCGGGCGUGUCCUCGCAAAGAAACAUAACACCCAGAUCGAUCUUCGACGAGCUCUCCAUUGGGGAGCCACAGGACUCCACCUUCACCAGCUAUUUGGCAGCUAAAGCGGAGAUGGAGGAGGAAAAAAUGCAGCCCAAGAAGGCACACCUGGAGAAGCCAUUACCAGCCAUUGCCAGGACGCUGGGCGACUUCCUGCAGCAUCAGGCAGAACAACCCCUUUCCCAAUCCGGCUCCCACUUCCUCAAGGUCCAAUAUACCUAUUGGGACUCGGAGCUGGACUGCAGAUGGCGCGGGAAAGAUGGCUGAUGUGGUUUUCUUAUUAUUUGGGCCGUGGCUAACGGCGUUCAUCGAAAUUCACUUGCUAAAUCUGGUAUUUUUGGUUAGCACGCGGUUUUCGUCGAUGUGAGUACUAGGCUUAACCCAUUUGAGACAAUAUAAACAUAGUAUAUGUUUAUGCUAAGGGUUUCGUGAUUUCUUAAAAGCGUGAAAUAAAAUUUGCUCCUGUUUAUGCGACACCGCCGAAUUCAUGCAUUCUAUCAAUCUCAGCUGACAGAGGUGCCGGACCGGUGGAAAAAGAUGUUAGCGAUUAUUAAACCGAUUAUUUUUUCUCGAUUCGCAUAAAAUAAUCUUGCUAGUAUUAAAGAUAAAGUAUGUGCAAGCCAGUAUAACAUCUUUUUACCGUCAAAAUAAAAGAUGAAUACUAGUUUCCAUUGGCCCUAAAUGAACAAAUAAUUUGUUAAAUGUAAGGUGUAUUUAUGUAUUUAUAUCGAUGUGGCAACUCCGAUAAAUGUAUAGAGUUACCGGAGUUUAAUUGUCACCAAUUCACGCUUUGAGGUUGAAUUCAUAGUCAACUUUCGUGUGUUGCCGAAUUCACGAAAUGGCGUUUAUGCACACACGAAUCGGCUGAAAUCGCGAAAUGAAAGCGUGAAUUCGGCAUCGCAUAAACACAGUAAUAAACUAAUUUAUUUAUCAAUUCGUGGCGGUUGGUCACUCUGAAAAAUAAAGUUUUCUUUGAAUUGCCAAAAUGAGGCGCCAUAAAAGUUUCGAGCAGCGUGAUUGGUCCUAAAGCCUUGUACUCAGAUCGGCUAAGAGUUUCACUAGUCGAAAAAUCUUAUUCUUUGUAGUGUGACCGAAGUUUUUAAAGUUCACCCGCAAUGCAUGUAGCAUGGUCUUACUGUCAAGCAGCUGUUGCCA